rnacentral:rRNA from 1 species
GACGAACGCUGGCGGCGUGCUUUACACAUGCAAGUCGAACGAUGACGACCGAGCUUGCUCGGUCUGAUUAGUGGCGAACGGGUGAGUAACACGUGAGCAACCUGCCCUUCACUCUGGGAUAACCUCGGGAAAUCGGGGCUAAUACCGGAUAUGAGCUCCUGUCGCAUGGCGGGUGUUGGAAAGUUUUUCGGUGAAGGAUGGGCUCGCGGCCUAUCAGUUUGUUGGUGAGGUAGUGGCUCACCAAGGCGAUGACGGGUAGCCGGCCUGAGAGGGCGACCGGCCACACUGGGACUGAGACACGGCCCAGACUCCUACGGGAGGCAGCAGUGGGGAAUAUUGCACAAUGGGCGAAAGCCUGAUGCAGCGACGCCGCGUGAGGGAUGACGGCCUUCGGGUUGUAAACCUCUUUCAGCAGGGAAGAAGCGAAAGUGACGGUACCUGCAGAAGAAGCGCCGGCUAACUACGUG